rnacentral:misc_RNA from 1 species
GCUCGACACGGUGGCCAGCGGCCACCGUGAGACGGUAGCGGAGGAGCACGGCGGCGGCGACAGACUUCAUUUGCAGAUAAGCCAGAUCCUUGCCGAGACAGACCCUCGGGCCGGCAUUGAAUGCGACAAACUUAAACGAGUCAUGAGGCUCGAAGCGAGCACCGUCGGCAGACAUCCACCGCUCCGGCUUAAACUCGAGACAGUCCUCACCCCAGACGGCCGGCAUUCUGCCGGUGGAGUAGAUUGAGUAAGUGAUCGCGCU